CUGGGAGGAAACAGGAAGGCUGUUUCUCUGUCUCCUUACCUACUGGAAGGCUGGAUCCAAAAAUGAAAAGCCACUUCAGUGCCCAAGGCUUUUAACAACACCAGGAAAACACGACAAAAAUAACAAGAGAUGAGAGUUCUUCAGCUGUAGAGAAACCUCUUUCAUGGCCAAACCUACAGGGAACGUUUUCAAAGGCUUUUGUGAGAUGAUAUCCUGGAGUCUGCUCAGUGGAGGAGAAUGGAAAAAUGCGGCAUCUGAACUACAGCUCCCAUGAGGCAUCUGAACUACAACUCCCAUGAGGCACCUUGGUGACAUUGCCAACUAGCAAUAAUUUGGUUAUAGAUUUUUUUCAGAGAAAAGUCAACACUUUCUGUACAAGCACCCUCCCCUAUCCUUCUCUGACUACCUCUAAUUACAAUUUGUGGACCCUGCUGGGAAGGAAAAAAAAGGGGUCAGCACUUUUUUCCCAUUCUUUAUAAAAACUUGAAAAGAUUUGUUGUAAAAUCCAAGCACAAUUGUUAUUACAUUAGAAAUCCAAGUGUUUUCUGCCUUGAAAGAGCCUACAGAGAACUAGAAUGUGAUCUGAACUAUGACAUCAGCUAUACCAGUGAUCGUACUGAUUCACAAUACCUGAUCAAUUAAGAGGGGAAGUAACUUUUAUUGAUUGUUUAAAACCCUGGGUUUUCAUUAAAACCUAUUUUACCAACACUUGGGAGAAAGACUCUCUUUGCUAAGGAUUCAGCAGUAGCCUUCAUCCCUACAAUCAAGGUCUGAGACAGCUUUCAAUCCAGCACCCUGAGUCAGCCACGGAGUUCUCCAGUAAAACCAAGGAGAACAGAACUUGAUAUUCCUAAGAUAAAAACAAUCAAUAAAAAAAGUUAAAGGGGCACUGGGGGGAAACAAACACAGCCUUUUCAUGCCUUCUUUAUGGAUCUCAUGAGUGCAAAGAGGG